AACGAACGCUGGCGGCAUGCCUAACACAUGCAAGUCGAACGAAGUCUUCGGACUUAGUGGCGCACGGGUGCGUAACGCGUGGGAAUCUGCCCUUGGGUGCGGAAUAACUUCUCGAAAGGGAUGCUAAUACCGCAUAAUGUCGUAAGACCAAAGAUUUAUCGCCCAAGGAUGAGCCCGCGUAAGAUUAGCUAGUUGGUGGGGUAAAAGCCUACCAAGGCGACGAUCUUUAGCUGGUCUGAGAGGAUGAUCAGCCACACUGGGACUGAGACACGGCCCAGACUCCUACGGGAGGCAGCAGUGGGGAAUAUUGGACAAUGGGCGAAAGCCUGAUCCAGCAAUGCCGCGUGAGUGAUGAAGGCCCUAGGGUUGUAAGGCUCUUUUACCAGGGAUGAUAAUGACAGUACCUGGAGAAUAAGCUCCGGCUAACUCCGUGCCAGCAGCCGCGGU
rnacentral:rRNA from 1 species